UCUAAAGAAGUUUUUAUAUUUGAUCUAACUCAAAAAAAUAAAUUUUCUGUCCAGCCAUCAGUUUUAUGUAAAAAAUGUGUUUGAUUUAAAUUAAAAGUAAGUCCUGUUGGUGUAAAGUAAAUAAAUUUCUGUAAAUUAAAGUAAAAAUAUUAGUUUCCAUUGUCACGUGACUUACGUAACGUCAUCCUGGUCGUGCGUGAGGACGUUCAGCUGAAGUUCAGCUUUCCGCCAUCUUGUUAUACACUGCACCGAUGGAUGAACUCCGCGUCGUACAAUGGGAUUCAAGAAAAUUGGCCAAUCAUAUCCCAUCCAUGGAGAGACAUCAGCAAACAUUAUGACAAAGACGUUUGCCUUACGCAGACAAGAGAUUGUGGAAAACCAACCUACUGUUCAAGAACUGCAAGAAAGAUUGCCAGAGGAGAUUAAUGCAGAAUUGCGCAUCACGAUCUUACCUUGAAAAUCAAGAUUUAUGGCGUCUUUGGACAGACAGAGCUCUCAUGUUAUUAGGAGCAAAGGUGGAGUCCUCCAUGAAAAACUAAGGACACUAUUAAAGUUAUGGAUCAGAGUCUGGACGUAGAAAUCAGAAGAGAAAGCCUGCUGAAGUGCCUGAUUCAUGUACUUUGGUGAAGAUGCAAGCUGUCUGAUCAAAGAAUACCAGGCUGACAAGAGGGAAGAAGCGGAGAGGGAAUUCAAAAAGACCACCAUGGAAUUUUUUGUGAUCCGUGAAAGUGAUGCUCCUAAUCCUGCACUGGACAUUUUCAUUGAUGGUGUGGAGUAAUAAAUGAGUUGCCCUCUGUUGCAUGUGCAUGUUUGGACUCAUUUGAACUGAACUUAAAAUAUCCUGAUGGACUCAAAUAUACCUUUAAAGCCUUUAAAAAAAAUGUCAUGGACGUAGACAGUAAGCAGAUGAGCCGAAGGGUGCAGAACCCCUCUUCAAAACUGCAGGAGUAAAUUUGUUUCCUUUGACCCAGCUACUGAAGGUACAUUUUUGAGCCUUUUAUACAACAUUAACUGUAAUACUGUUUACUAAACCUGAUUUGUUUUAUCUUGAUUAAGUUUUAUGGUUUAUCUAUCAACCAUAACUGAUUCUUAUUUAGAAUUUACAUUUUAUCCAGUGUGUCUACAAAUACUAAAAACUGUUAUACAGUAUGUGUUUUUAUAACAAUACUAUACAUAUUGUUGAAAUGUUUUAUGACAAAUGGACUCUAUGCACGGCGGUGCUUGACGUAUUUCCGGUGAAAUCUCAGGAUGCUGGACUACUUCCGCCAGUCAUAGAGCUCAAUGAUAUUCAGGAACGUUGGUUGCCAAAAUAGCCAAAAUAACACUGCAAAUUUUGUUGAUACUUGUUAAAUUUACAUAGAAAUAACUUAUACUUUACAUUUAAUACCAUAAUGACAUUUAAACGUAUGAAAGUAUAUUUUUAUAGACGGGAGAACCGAACUUCUAGCCACCACUGGUGUGUGUCAUAGUGUUUACAGCAUUAGACUCAAGCAUGACAACUUCUACACUGCUACCCUGUAUCUGCAUUAACACUAGUUUUAGAUAGAAAUUGCACUGAUAACAGUGAUAUUCAUCUGUUGUUGAUAUACUUAAGAAUUUUGUAUAAUUGUUAUCAUCAGUACUAGCGAAGAUAACAUCUGUGGUUAUACAAGCAAAAUGUUAGAACAGUAAAAAACGUGUAUUUUGCGCAUUUAUGUAUGCUUUAUUAAUAACAAAUGCAAAAGACAAAUAGAAAAUUCAUAUCAAUGACAACAAGAAUAACUUAAGAGAAAAAUAAAACACACACACAACAAACUAAAUACACGGGGUAUUAAAAUAAACAAACAGGACAAGAAAUAAACAAAUAAUGGAAUAGAUUUCUUAAAUGGACUUUACCAUAGUCAAUAGUUCUUUUUUCGUUGUUAUUUAUAUCCUAUAAAGUUCCAAGAUAUAACUAAAAAAUAUCCAAGUAAAAAUGUUUUGACAAUCGACGUAAAUAUACAAAAAAAAAAAGGUAUUAAACGUCACAUUUAAUAUCAGUCCUGCUGCAGUUCGUGUUGCUUUUUCCUCAUAUAGCAGUGAGAUUUCAUUUACAUCUUUUAAUUUACCUGACACUUUAAGAUAACAUUACAAAGACAUUAAUCCUGAAUCAUAAAAACAGCACAAAGCUCUGCUAGUAUGAUGAACAUAUCAUAAUGAUUACAGAGAUAAGACGACUUGUAACGUUAACCUUUCUCGAGUUUGCACAUCUGGACAAUUCUUCACACAUCACAGGUUGUAAAUUUGGGUAAAUCCAGCAAACAACGAGUACAUUUAGCGAUUCUGCCGUCACUCCGCUUUAAAUCUCCCGUACCGGAAACUGAAGAGCAGCCUUGAGUCAAACGCGGAAGUUAAGCGUGCAUAGAGUCCAUUGUCAAGAUUAUAAUGUGUUGACAUUGUUAGACAGUGUGUAUUUGUACAAAAAAUGUAUAUUAUGACAAAAUAAAUUGUCAAAAGUUUGAUGCUUGAAGUCAUUCAUCUUAGACAGAUGGUAAAAUUACACAUUCUGAAAGUAAAUAAAUUUCUUUAUAUUAAAUUAAUAUUUUAAAUUGUAUU